AUGAGAAGGAACAUUUCACUGUGGUCGCUGCAACAACUGCCAGUGUAAAUAGAAAGUAAAGCCAGUUUCACUUUGGCCUCGGUUCAAAACUGUAGUCAGUUGUUUAGCAACACCAUUUAAGUGAAAAAGAAAGAAGAAGAAGAAAGAAAAGUUUGAGAGUUUUCUAGUGUUCCUUGUGAUAACAGCUAUGUAGUUAGGGCUACUAGCUAUAGCGAGCAGGUAGGAAGUCUGAAAUGGACAUUAACCACUUUGCCUUCAUGAAAAAGGGAGAACUGACUUCAGCAUCAAAUUAGUCACAUGCACGUUUGUUUCUGAGGAUCAUCAGACUUCUGCCUGGUCAACACACCACUUCAAGAUCAGUUUGAGGACUUCUGCUCAGCAGUGGCAGCAGGUGUGGUCAGACUCUCGGGCUUCACAAUCUGAUGACGUACUCUGCAUAUGCCAGCCCAUUGACACUGGGUCGUCCUAUAACAGAGUGGUGCCCAGGAGGGGCAUGGGCCAUUUUCAUUGCGCUGAACUGAAGAAAGGAUUUACCCAGUGCCACUCUGCAGAACAGCAUUUGCCUACAAACACAAGGACACACAAAAGCCAUGCAGUCAACGCAGGAGCGGUCUUUGUGUGUGGGGCACCCUGUGCCUCCGCCUAUCCCAUACACAUACUGGUUGCUUUUGGAGGAGUUCUCUGCAA